AUUGAACGCUGGCGGCAGGCUUAACACAUGCAAGUCGAGCGAGCGGCGGAAGGGUGAGUAAUGUCUGGGAAACUGCCUGAUGGAGGGGGAUAACUACUGGAAACGGUAGAUAAUACCGCAAACCAUCAGAUGCGCCCAGAUGGGAUUAGAUAGUAGGUGGGGGAAUGGCUCCCCUAGGCGACGAUCCCUAGCUGGUCUGAGAGGAUGACCAGCACUACUGGAACGGGGACACGGUCCAGACCCUUACGGGAGGCAGCAGUGGGUAAUAUUGCACAAUGGGCGCAAGCCUGCUGCAGCCAUGCGGCGUGUGUGAAGAAGGCCUUCGGGUUGUAAAGUACUUUCAGCGAGGAGGCGUUACUCGCAGAAGAAGCACCGGCUAACUCCGUGCCAGCAGCCGCGGUAAUUC
rnacentral:rRNA from 1 species